UACGAAGGGUGCAAGCGUUAUUCGGAGUUACUGGGCGUAAAGAGCGUGUAGGCGGUCUGCUAAGUCAGUUGUUAAAGACCUUGGCUUAACUGAGGAAAAGCAAUUGAAACUGAUGGACUAGAGUGCAAGAGAGAGAGAUGGAAUUCUCGGAGUAGCGGUAAAAUGCGUAGAUCUCGAGAGGAACACCGGUAGCGAAGGCGGUCUCUUGGCUUGUAACUGACGCUAAAGCGCGAAAGCGUGGGGAG
rnacentral:rRNA from 1 species